GGUCCCGCCUGCCCUGUGACCCCUGGUUCAACGGCCGCGGUAUUUUGACCGUGCAAAGGUAGCGCAAUCACUUGUCUCUUAAAUGAGGACCUGUAUGAAUGGCAUAACGAGGGCUUAACUGUCUCCUUUUCCCGGUCAAUGAAAUUGAUCUUCCCGUGCAGAAGCGGGAAUCCUAACAUAAGACGAGAAGACCCUAUGGAGCUUUAGACUUUAGAACAGAUCAUGUAAGCUACCUCAAUGAAAUAGGUAAUAACCAUUGAAUUACUGUCCACCUGUCUUCGGUUGGGGCGACCACGGGGAAUAAAAAAACCCCCACGUGGACCAGGAGCACAUUACUCCUACAACCAUGAGCCACAGCUCUAAUGCACGAAACAUUUGACCAUUAGAUCCGGCAAAGCCGAUUAACGGACCAAGUUACCCUAGGGAUAACAGCGCAAUCCCCUUUAAGAGUUCAUAUCGACAAGGGGGUUUACGACCUCGAUGUUGGAUCAAGACAUCCUAAUGGUGCAGCCGCUAUUAAGGGUUCGUUUGUUCAACGAUUAAAGUCUU
rnacentral:rRNA from 1 species